UUACAUUUUAAAUUAGCUAAUCCUAGCACUGAAUUGGCUCAUUGUGGUAAUAGCAGUAUCUUUUGCUGCCAGGAGGAGGAGGAAGGUUGUGGAGCUUGAUCCAAGUGUGCUGGAAAUACAUGUCUACAUCACAUUCAUUCUUAACAGAUCCAAUCUGUUUGCAUCUUGAGAUUUUUGUACGAAGAGGAGGCUUGAAAUGAUUUCUUAUCUAUAUCGUUGAAAUGAA